rnacentral:rRNA from 1 species
UAUCGACGGCGGGUUUUGGCACCUCGAUGUCGGCUCAUCACAUCCUGGGGCUGAAGUAGGUCCCAAGGGUAUGGCUGUUCGCCAUUUAAAGUGGUACGCGAGCUGGGUUUAGAACGUCGUGAGACAGUUCGGUCCCUAUCUGCCGUGGGCGCUGGAGAACUGAGGGGGGCUGCUCCUAGUACGAGAGGACCGGAGUGGACGCAUCACUGGUGUUCGGGUUGUCAUGCCAAUGGCACUGCCCGGUAGCUAAAUGCGGAAGAGAUAAGUGCUGAAAGCAUCUAAGCACGAAACUUGCCCCGAGAUGAGUUCUCCCUGAGACUUAGAGUCUCCUGAAGGAACGUUGAAGACGACGACGUUGAUAGGCCGGGUGUGUAAGCGCAGCGAUGCGUUGAGCUAACCGGUACUAAUGAACCGUGAGGCUUAACCUUAC